UACGUAGGGUGCGAGCGUUGUCCGGAAUUAUUGGGCGUAAAGAGCUUGUAGGUGGUUUGUCGCGUCUGCUGUGAAAAUCCGAGGCUCAACCUCGGACUUGCAGUGGGUACGGGCAGACUAGAGUGCGGUAGGGGUGACUGGAAUUCCUGGUGUAGCGGUGGAAUGCGCAGAUAUCAGGAGGAACACCAAUGGCGAAGGCAGAUCUCUGGGCCGUAACUGACGCUGGAGGAGCGAAAGCAUGGGGAGCGAACAGG
rnacentral:rRNA from 1 species